rnacentral:lncRNA from 1 species
AUGACCCUGAGCACGGAGAUGUCCGAUGCCUCCGGCCUCGCCGAGGAGACAGACAUCGACGUGGUGGGGGAGGGCGAGGACGAAGACGACGAGGAAGAGGAGGACGACGACGAGGGCGGCGGCGGCGGGCACCGCCUGGCUGUCCCCGCGCGGCGGAGGCGGCGGCGGCGCUCGUACGCCGGGGAAGACGAGCUGGAGGACCUGGAGGAGGAGGAGGACGACGAUGACAUCCUGCUGGCUCCGCGGACGGGGGGCUCCCCGGCGCCCCCGGGUCCAGCCCCGGGGGCGGGGGCCGGGGCUGGUGGCGGCAGCGGCGCGGGCGCGGGCGGCGGCGGCGUGGGCGCGGGCGGCGGCGCCAAGAACCCGCUGGUGAAGCCGCCCUACUCGUACAUCGCGCUCAUCACCAUGGCCAUCCUGCAGAGCCCCAAGAAGCGGCUGACGCUGAGCGAGAUCUGCGAGUUCAUCAGCGGCCGAUUCCCGUACUACCGGGAGAAGUUCCCCGCCUGGCAGAACAGCAUCCGCCACAACCUCUCGCUCAACGACUGCUUCGUCAAGAUCCCCCGCGAGCCCGGCAACCCCGGCAAAGGCAACUACUGGACGCUCGACCCCGAGUCCGCCGACAUGUUCGACAACGGCAGCUUCCUGCGCCGGAGGAAGCGCUUCAAGCGGCAGCCGCUGCUCCCGCCCAACGCCGCCGCCGCCGAGUCGCUGCUGCUGCGCGGCGCGGGGGGCGCGGGGGGGGCAGGGGACCCGGCCGCGGCCGCCGCAGCCGCCGCGCUCUUCCCGCCCGCGCCCCCGCCGCCCCCGCACGCCUACGGCUACGGCCCCUACGGCUGCGGCUACGGCCUGCAGCUGCCGCCUUACGCGCCGCCCUCGGCCCUCUUCGCCGCCGCGGCCGCUGCCGCUGCCGCCUUCCACCCGCACUCGCCGCCGCCGCCCCCCCGCCGCCGCCGCCGCCGCCGCCGCCGCCGCCGCCCCACGGCGCGGCCGCCGAGCUGGCCCGGACCGCCUUCGGCUACCGGCCGCACCCGCUCGGCGCCGCCCUGCCCGGCCCCCUGCAGGCCUCGGCGGCCAAGGCGGGCGGCCCGGGCGCCUCGGCGCUGGCGCGCUCGCCCUUCUCCAUCGAGAGCAUCAUCGGGGGCAGCCUGGGCCCGGCCGCCGCCGCCGCCGCCGCGCAGGCCGCCGUGGCCGUGCAGGCCUCGCCCUCCCCAUCUCCCGGGACGCCGUCCGCGCUCGGGGCCGGCGGUAGCGACGGCGGCGGCGGCGGCUGUGCGGCUCAGGCGGCCGUGGGUCCGGCCGCCGCGCUCACCCGCUCGCUCGUGGCCGCCGCCGCCGCCGCCGCCUCCUCCGUCUCCUCGUCGGCCGCCCUGGGGACUCUGCACCAAGGGACUGCCCUGUCCAGUGUCGAGAACUUUACUGCUAGGAUCUCAAAUUGUUAAUAACGCUAUGUUAGCGCGCUUGAGAAAGAGAAGUGCAGGGACGCGCUCCGCUUCCCAGGCUGUCGGUGCUUUUAAGAGAACGGCAAGAAAGCCUGGGCGAUCCAGCGCGGUCCUCGGUUCGGGACCGGGAGCCGGGGUCCCGCUUCUCCCGCAAGUGCGUCUUGAGUCCCGAAUCCUGAGAAAAGGUGAAGCCGACCCGCCUGCCUGUCUCGAGCUUUGCGUCGUGCGAGUGCAGCUCCUCCACUACCGCCGGGUUUGGGGUUCCCUCGUCGGCUCUGCCGGCUCCGCGGGCCUGGCCGACGGCUGGCCGACCUAUGGGAAAGCGAAGGCCGCGGGGACAGGCGAGGGGUGGGCCGCGGGCCGCCAGGCGAGGGCCGCGGGGCAGGCGAGGAGUGAACCACGGGCAGUGGGCCCGGUGAGCCAGGAGCUCGGGGCGCGCCCUGUCAGGCCGCGGGGGCGAGCAGGUGCUGGAACAAAGGCCGCCCGGCUACCGCGGGCUUUGAUGGGCCAGGACGUCUCCUCCCGAGGCUCCUCAUUCGCAUGCAAAUCCAGCUCUGGUCCCCUUUUCUUUGAAGGCAAACAGAAGGAUGUUUGUGUGUUUGUAAGGACGAAACCGGCUUGA